rnacentral:lncRNA from 1 species
GGCAGCACCCACACACGCAUUAGAUCCCAAGUACUGGACCCUGACACCGGAGCGGGUGUGGGGGUGGUGGCAGGGAGCUGCCAGAGACCAAUGAGGACAGUGUUUCCCAUCAGCAGGGACUCCUUAGUGAGCUCCUCAUUCAGUCUUGGGGUUGGAGAGGACCGAACACACUGUACAGAUUCGUGUUUGUCAGUGUCCUAAUCGUGUGAACCCAGAGUCAGUAAGGUUGGGAUGCACAGUCAUUUCUCUUACCACCCUCACGGGUUCACUGUUUGCAUCUCCAAGUUUGACUUUGGAAGUUCAGGGACCGAUGAAAGUGGGGUGGGGUGCAGCUGGGUCCAGCUAGGACAGUGAAUAACUCCUUAAAGCUUCAACUGAGACCUGGGGGCCGGACGUUGUGGGACGGUUGAUGGUUUGGGACUGCACAGUUGGUGAUUAAAUGUCUCUAUUCUCGUGUGCGGACUUCGAGAUGGUUAUUUCCCAGCAUAGAGGUGGGAGAGCUUAUGCAGAGUGCAUGGCUGUGUUCUCAGUGGCUGCUGUGGUCCUAAGUUCACCUUUCCCCUCUGCAGCAAGCCCCAUGAUCCUUUAACCAGUAGGCCACCAGGGAGCUCCUUUAAUCCAUUUUUACUUGAUUUUUGUGUAUGGUGUAAGGUAGUGGUCCAGUUUGAUUCUUUUGCAUGUAGCUGUCCAGUUUGCCCAACAGCAUUUAUUGAAGAGAUUGUCCUUUCCUCAUUGUACAUUCUUGGCUCCUUCAGAGCAGCGUUUUUUUGAGUUGGGCUUUGUGCGUAGGGGAGAGUAGUGCUAUUGGAAAGGUCAUGAACUCUUCAGGAGUUUUUCAGGACAGUGAUCUAAAGAGAUCAGAUUUAGAUUCAACAGGGAUGAUUUUCUCUAUCUCUGGUCUUUCCUUUUCUGCCUCGCUUUUGAAGGCAUGUCAGUAUUCUGGAGAUGUUUAGAAGUGUUUGCAUAAACAUGCCAUGUUUGGGGCCAAGGUGGUGUUUUAUUUAUGUGUUUAUUUUGCUGCAUUUGGUCAUUAUCAACUAAAAUGGUCAAUGUCUACUAUGUACACAACAUUCUUUAAUGAUGUUCUCUCCCCCACUGCAGAAUGAGGUCCUUGAAUUUGGAAACACACUCAUGUCAGGAAUGUUUGGGCGUCUCAGCUCUAGUCUUUUUUCUCAUUAAUUAUCUUAAUGGUGACAGAAAACAAACUAGUUAAAUGUCAUAUUGGAGUUUUCUCCCAGUAGACAUUUUUGUAUUUUUAAAGAUACACUGACCACAUUGAAGGUAGGGUUCUGGCGAUGUGCAAAGAAAAUUUGUAUAAUAUCCCCAAACUCCGUUUUUGAAAUAAUACGGAGUUUAAGCCAAAACCUGAAUUGGAAACAUAGUUUCUUUACUUAAAUGGGCAGUCUAGGGAAUUCCAGAUUCCUACCAUGAUUUAGAAUCUCUUGAAUUGUCCCAUUGAAAGGUGGGAAAUGUAAGUUUAUAGUAUAAAUGGAAAAUUUUAUGUCAUGAAAGGUUUAUCAGCAUUCACUCCAAAGUUGUUGAGACCAGGAUUGAACCCGCAACCUCAUGGUUCCUAGUUGGAUUCGUUUCUGAUGCCCCAUGACAGGAACUCCUGGACUAUAUUUAUAAAGAAUUUUUUUUCAGUUUAAAAUUUACACUAAGGUGAAUAUAUUUUUGCGAAAAAUAUCUGAAUACAUCUCAAUAUUUUGUAUCUAAAUCUAGCAUUUAAAUUUCAUCUUAGAACUUUGACUUAUAUAGGUCUGUAUGAGGUAGCUGAUUAAAAUAUUUCACCAGAAUGUUCAAUUUCACACUCGAACAUUUUCUACUGCAAGGCACUGUUCUAGCUGGUUGGAAACAAUGGAGAAGGGAAUUAUUAUUUAUUGUAUGCCUGUUAUAUUUCAGAUAGUUGUACAUUACUUUAGGUCUUCAUCUCAUUAAUGCAUACAGUAACCCUGUUAUUGUCCUCAUUUUAUAGCACAGGAGACUGAGGGAUAGAAAAUUAUGAACUGGGGAGAAAUGAUCUGGGCCGUAGUAUUCUUGGACUGCCGAAUCUUGGAUGGUGCCUCUAUCCUAUGAAUGGGGGCUGAGUGGAGGAAGAGCCCAUUCCCACUCACCAGGAAUGUCACCUUUCAGCUUGGACUUGUAGGAGCUAGAAAGGCUGGAGGCCUGCUCCUUCUGGUGGUUGGUUGGGAGCUGAGGAGAGAAGUCUUCGAUCUUAGUCACCCCACCUGGAGUGAGGCUCCCAUCAAGCUAACUGUGGAGUAGUGGAUCAUGCUCAAAUGCCACAGACAUUCACCCUUAACAAGUCUUAGUAGAUUCUCUUGAAUAAAUACUUCUUUAUUUGCAGUAGGUUGGCCUUUAGGAGUCUCUCCAGAGAUUUAAUUUUUUUAGUAGUAAUUUUCAUCAACCUUGCUUGUUUUCCAUGGGAGUUUUUCCUUGGAGUCCCUCAUAUUAAGAUCCUAGAAGUGGAAAGCUGUAAUUUAUAAUUUAUACUCUGGUUGGGAUUGAUAUCAACUUAACUUCAAUAGUAGACAGUAAUUUUGCUCCUCUAUAAUUCUGUUCCCUCCCUUUUGCUGUUAGUGUCACAAAUUACAACCCAGAUAUGUAAUUCUUACUUUAUGCAGUUAUCUUUUCACAGACAGGAGAUAAAAGAGAAGCAAAAAUAAAUUUAUAUUGUCUUUUAUAUUUACCUAUAUAGUUGUCUUUAUCUGUGCUCUUUAUUUCUUCAUGUGGAUUUGAGUUACUCUCUAGUGUAUUCUCAUUUCAAACUGAAAAGAUUCCUUUUAGUAUUUACUGUAAGGAAGGUCUGCUAGCCACAGAUUCUCUUAAUUUUGUUUUUCUCACAGUGUCUUAAUUUUUCCUUCAUUUUUGUAGGAUAGCUUUGCUUGAUAAAGAAUUCUUGAUUGACAGGGUUUUUUCUUUCAGGACUUUGGAUAUGCCAUCCACUGCCUUCUGGCUUCUCAGGUUUCUGAUGAGAAGUCAGCUGUUAUUUGUAUUGCGUAUCUCUUGUGCUUGAUGAGCCACUUUUUCUUUCGGUUUUCAAGAUUUUCUUUUUUGUCUUGCUGUAAUUUGAAUAUGAUGUAUCUAAGGGUUGCCUGUCUUUUUGUUUACCCUCCUUGGAGAUCAUCGACCUUUUGAAUAUGUAGAUUAAUGUUUUCCAUCAUAUUUGAGAAAAUUUCAGCCAUUAUUUCUUCAAACAUUCUUUAUGCUCCUUUUUUCCUCUUCUUUGGGACUCCCAUUAUGCACAUGUUGGUACAGUUGUGGUGUCCCAUAGGUCUCAAGGGUCAUUAUAAUUUUUCUUUAUUUUUUUCUUUCAUUUCCUCAAUUGCCUGCCUUUAAUUGAUUGAUCUUCAGGUUCACUGAUUUUUUUUUUUUUCCUUCUGCCUGCUCAAAUCUGUUUGAACUCCUCUAGUGAAUAUUUCAUUUCGGUUAUUCUACUUUUUCAGAAUUUGUUUGAUUCUUUUUUUAGUAUAAUUUCUAGCUUUUUAUUGAUAUUUGGUGAGACGUCAUUCUCAUACUUUAGCUUUUUUUUCUUUAGCUCUUUGAACGUAUCUGAAACAGCUGAUUUAAGAUCUUUGUGAUAGGUAUAAAAUCAAACUCUCGGCUUCCUCAGGGAUAGUUUCUUUAGCUAUCCUUAGCAUGCAUUUUCUACUUUAUCAUCUGAAAUGGCUGCUCACGCUCCAGCCAUAUAGUGUGUAUUCCAGCCAUCACAAAGGAGGAAGGGCUGAAGACAUGCUUAUUCCCUUUAAUUAUACUUCCUAGAAGUUGUAGAUGAUACUUUGCUUAUAGUCCAUUGGCCAGAGUAUUAUCAUAUGAUUACUCCUAGUUUCAAUGGAGGCUGGAAAUUGUAGUCAUUAAUCUGGGUGGCCCUGAGUCUUUUUUUGGGGGGUGGAGUUGCACCUGCAGCAUAAGGAAGUUCCCAGGUUAGGGACUACAGCUGCCAGCCUACGCCACAGCCACAAUAACUCGGGAUCCAAGCCGUGUCUACCACCUACGCCACACCCAGCUCACAGAAUGCUGGAUCCCCGACCCACUGAGUGAGACCAGGGAUGGAACCCUCAUCCUCAUGGAUGCUAGUCAGAUUCAUUUCUGCUGCACCACAGUGGGAACUCCCUGAGUUCUUUUAUUAUUAAGAAAGAGGAGGAGAAUGGAUUUGGGGAUAUAAUUAGGAUUUUUUUUUAACUAUAGUUUAACCCUUUGGUUGUUCUAAUAUAUGAGCCUACCCUUCUUUUCAUGUAUACAACACUUUCAUCUCAUCCCAGGAGGGAUGACCUCAGUGUUUCAUUUAGUUACUGCAUUCAGCUCAAAGCCCAGGAUGUCUGGCAGGUAUGGUUCAGGGCUUAAAAAUGAAAAGAUAAGCUAACUGCUCCCUAAGCAAUUAGUAUAUAGUGGGUGUCAUAGAAAUAGGACAAUAGCAAAAAAAAACUACCAUUCAGGAAAUUACUUCUUUAUUGAUAUUCUCUAUUUGAUGGGAUAUGAUUCCUCUACUUUUAGUUUUUUAGCCAUGGUUUCCUUAGACAAGUUUUCAGAAAAGGAAGGAAUUGGUAACGUAUAAAAGUCACUGGUGGAGUUCCUGUCGUGGCAUAGUGGUUAACGAAUCUGACUAGGAACCAUGAGGUUGCAGGUUCGAUCCUUGGCCUUGCUCAGUGGGUUAAGGAUCCAGCGUUGCCGUGAGCUGUGGUGUAGGUCACAGAUGUGGCUCGGCUCCCGUGUCGCUGUGGUUCUGGCAUAGGCCGCCGGCUAUAGCUCCAAUUAGACCCCUAGCUUGGGAACCUCCAUAUGCAGCAGGAAGCAGCCCUAGAAAAGGGAAAAAAAAAAAAAAAAAAAAAAAAAAAAA